rnacentral:rRNA from 1 species
AAUACCGCAUAACAACGUUGUUCGCAUGAACAACGCUUAAAAGAUGGCUUCUCGCUAUCACUUCUGGAUGGACCUGCGGUGCAUUAGCUUGUUGGUGGGGUAAUGGCCUACCAAGGCGAUGAUGCAUAGCCGAGUUGAGAGACUGAUCGGCCACAAUGGGACUGAGACACGGCCCAUACUCCUACGGGAGGCAGCAGUAGGGAAUCUUCCACAAUGGGCGCAAGCCUGAUGGAGCAACACCGCGUGAGUGAAGAAGGGUUUCGGCUCGUAAAGCUCUGUUGUUAAAGAAGAACACGUAUGAGAGUAACUGUUCAUACGUUGACGGUAUUUAACCAGAAAGUCACGGCUAACUACGUGCCAGCAGCCGCGGUAAUACGUAGGUGGCAAGCGUUAUCCGGAUUUAUUGGGCGUAAAGAGAGUGCAGGCGGUUUUCUAAGUCUGAUGUGAAAGCCUUCGGCUUAACCGGAGAAGUGCAUCGGAAACUGGAUAACUUGAGUGCAGAAGAGGGUAGUGGAACUCCAUGUGUAGCGGUGGAAUGCGUAGAUAUAUGGAAGAACACCAGUGGCGAAGGCGGCUACCUGGUCUGCAACUGACGCUGAGACUCGAAAGCAUGGGUAGCGAACAGGAUUAGAUACCCUGGUAGUCCAUGCCGUAAACGAUGAGUGCUAGGUGUUGGAGGGUUUCCGCCCUUCAGUGCCGGAGCUAACGCAUUAAGCACUCCGCCUGGGGAGUACGACCGCAAGGUUGAAACUCAAAGGAAUUGACGGGGGCCCGCACAAGCGGUGGAGCAUGUGGUUUAAUUCGAAGCUACGCGAAGAACCUUACCAGGUCUUGACAUCUUGCGCCAACCCUAGAGAUAGGGCGUUUCCUUCGGGAACGCAAUGACAGGUGGUGCAUGGUCGUCGUCAGCUCGUGUCGUGAGAUGUUGGGUUAAGUCCCGCAACGAGCGCAACCCUUGUUACUAGUUGCCA